UCUUAUAAUCACUCCACACCUUAACUAAC
rnacentral:sRNA from 1 species